AUUGAACGCUGGCGGCAUGCUUUACACAUGCAAGUCGAACGGCAGCGCGGGCUUCGGCCUGGCUGCGAGUGGCGAACGGGUGAGUAAUGCAUCGGAACGUGCCCAGUAGUGGGGGAUAGCCCGGCGAAAGCCGGAUUAAUACCGCAUACGACCUGAGGGUGAAAGCGGGGGACCGAAAGGCCUCGCGCCAUUGGAGCGGCCGAUGUCGGAUUAGCUAGUUGGUGGGGUAAAGGCUUACCAAGGCGACGAUCCGUAGCUGGUCUGAGAGGACGACCAGCCACACUGGGACUGAGACACGGCCCAGACUCCUACGGGAGGCAGCAGUGGGGAAUUUUGGACAAUGGGGGCAAGCCUGAUCCAGCCAUGCCGCGUGCGGGAAGAAGGCCUUCGGGUUGUAAACCGCUUUUGUUCGGGAAGAAAUCCUCUGGGCUAAUACCCCGGGGGGAUGACGGUACCGGAAGAAUAAGCACCGGCUAACUACGUG
rnacentral:rRNA from 1 species